rnacentral:rRNA from 1 species
UACAGAGGGUGCAAACGUUGCUCGGAAUUAUUGGGCGUAAAGCGCGUGUAGGCGGCUCGUUAAGUUGGACGUGAAAGCCCUUGGCUCAACCAAGGAAGUGCAUCCAAAACUGGCGAGCUCGAGUCCCGAAGAGGGUGGCGGAAUGCCGAGUGUAGAGGUGAAAUUCGUAGAUACUCGGUAGAACACCAGUGGCGAAGGCGGCCACCUGGGAGGCGACUGACGCUGAGACGCGAAAGCGUGGGGAGCAAACAGG